UAGCGUUGUCCGGAUUUAUUGGGCGUAAAGAGCGUGUAGGCGGCCUGGUAGGUCUGCUGUGAAAACUCGAGGCUCAACCUCGAGAUGUCGGCGGAAACCAUCUGGCUAGAGUCCGGAAGAGGAGAGUGGAAUUCCUGGUGUAGCGGUGAAAUGCGCAGAUAUCAGGAAGAACACCUAUGGCGAAGGCAGCUCUCUGGGACGGUACUGACGCUGAGACGCGAAAUCGUGGGGAGCGAACAGG
rnacentral:rRNA from 1 species